rnacentral:misc_RNA from 1 species
UCUCCGUUGGUGAACCAGCGGAGGGAUCAUUACAGGACUCGCAAGACUCCUUCACCCUGUGAACCUCACUACAAGCACGUUGCUUCGGCGGGUGUCCCGGCGGGGGUUUUCCCUCGGCGGGGCGCACAGCCCGCCGGCAGCCUACUAUACUCUGUCUCUUUGCGUUGGCAUCUCGAGAAAAAACAAACAAGUUAAAACUUUCAACAACGGAUCUCUUGGUUCUG